rnacentral:lncRNA from 10 species
GUGACGCGGUAACAGCUGCGGCCUGAGUCACUGGGCCCGGCGCGGGGUGGGCCGAGCCCCCCGCCCGGCCAGGGCCACGUGGCCCCUACCCGGAAGAAGGCGCCCACCCCCGCAAAGGGAAAGCCGCAAGGGCAAGACCUCGGGGCGCCUGGGGCCCCCCUCUGGCGCUAUACCUCCGUGCCAACUCGGGGUAGGAGAGCGGGGCGGAGCGCAGCCUGGGUCACUCUGGUUCAGAGAAGCGGACGAGGUGGGUGAGAGUUACCCUCUGAGCGCCGGGGCGGAGAGCUGAGGCCGGGUGACAAUGUGGUCUGUGAGGUUUCCCCAUCCUACCGUAGGGGAUGAGCCAGCUCUCUCCUCUGGCUCCAACUCUGUGCAAGCCCCCUCCCCAUCCGACUGUGCAGACAGCUGGGGACUGCCUGGGGUCGGGUGGGGCCAGAACAAACACUUCCAGAAAGUCCCUGGCUCACAUCCUGGGUGUCUCCCAACAUUCUACAGCAUUCUAGAGUGGGGAUUUCUGGCCCCCCUCUAUUAGCACAGCUUCUCCAUUUUCCAGGGAUCCUAGUCUGAGAAAAGGGGAGGAAGCCCUUCCCCGAAGCCACGCUACCCAGUCAAUCAAGACACGUCCGCGUCGGGUCCCGCCCUCUGGGGGAGGAUUGACAAGGUCUGUGCUUCCAGCCUCCCAGACAGCUCCUGCAUCCGUCUGUGAUAGCGAGGGCUUGGGGGAAGACACGAAGGCAGGAGAGGCUUACAUCCUCUGGAUUUCCCCGUCUUAUCCCAGAAGACAAAGCCAGGUGAGGGCUGGAAGCGGGCUAGGGGGAUCAAGCUGCCUCCCUCCCUUGUGUGCCAGGGGUGGUCCCCAGAAGGAGCUGAUCUGAACAGGCCGGAGAGUAGGACCGGCCGUCACACCCCCACACCUCCAGCCUCGGCCCCACUCCUUGGGCUCUUAAGGUCCUGCCUCAAGAACCACUUCCUGAGUCUUAGUGUAUGUGUGUACACAAAGAAUGAAAGAAGUCUCUAGAGCUAAAGGAAGGAGAUCCGGGCUGGGCUGAGAAGCAUCUUCCAGGAUCACGGCCUUCCCGCGGGACACACCAAGCCCAUUCCGGAUCUUGCUCUUCCUGACCAUGGCUGGCAGGCUGUGGAGGAGGAGCGGAGAGCAGAAGAAAGGAGUAUUCAUCAGGUUCCUUAUUGUGCUGCCACUAGAUGCCAGGCAUGUGCUAGGCUUGGGGGCUGCAAGGAGAGGAAGACAGCGGCCCUGCCCUCUGCUAGCAGGCAGAACCGAGUUCUGGCCACACUGUGAAGAAAGGCAGAAGCCUGCGGUGGCAGCUGGUUAAGCUCAGAGGGAGGGAAAGGGAGAGGAGAAUGGAUUUCACGGAGCAGAAGGAUGUGCUCAAGGUGACCUUGGAGAAUAAAGGGGAGAGCUCCAGGGACAGAGAAGCAGUCGACUGUGGAAAAAAAAGGAGCAUUUUGUAAAGUACAUGGCAGGUUGGGGUUGGCUGGCUCAAAGGGCUUGGGACGGAUGUGGUGAGAUGGGCUGAAGGUGGUCUGAAGAUCAAGAUUGAGAGACUAGAUACAUAACAACCAACUGCAAUGUUUGGUCCUUCAUUGAAUGGUUGAACAAACCAGCUGUGAAAGACAUUUUGGGACAUACAGACAUGGACUGAGAAUUAGACAUAAGAAAAUUAUUUUGUUAACUGUUAUCAUGGUUAACAAAACGGUCAUAUAAUAUGAUUAUGUAGAGAAGUUACUCUAGUUUUUCCUCUUUUUUUUUCUUUAUUCUCCUAUCAGCCAAUGCAUUUGUUACAGGAAAGGGGUCCCAAUCCAGACCACAAGAGAGGGUUCUUGGAUCUCAUGCAAGAAAGAUUCAGGGCGAGUCGCAGUGCAAAGUAUAAGCAAGUUUAUUAAGAAAGUAAAGUGGUGAAACAACAGCUGCUCCAUAGACAGAGUAGGAUGUUCCCCAAAGUAAGAGGAGGGGCUAGGCGCAGUGGCUCACCACACCUGUAAUCCCAGCAUUUUGGGAGGCCUAGGCAGGUGGAUCACCUGAGGUCAGGAGUUCGAGACCAGCCUGGCCAACACGGUGAAACCCCGUCUCUACUAAAAAUACAAAAAGUAGCUGGGCACAAUGAUGUGUGCCUGUAGUCCCAGCUACUCAGGAGGCUGAGGCAGGAGAAUCACUUGAACCCAGGAGGCAGAGGUUGCAGUGAGCAGAGAUCGUGUUGCUGCAUGCCAUCCUGGGCAACAAGAGUGAAACUCCGUCUCUCUUUUUUUUUUUUUUUUUUUUGAGACGGAGUCUCGCUCUGUCACCAGGGUGGAGUGCAGUGGUGCCAUCUUGGCUCACUGCAACCUCCGCCUCCCGUGUUCAAGUGAUUCUCCUGCCUCAGCCUCCCAAGUAGCUGGGACUACAGGCACGCACCACUACGCCCAGCUAAUUUUUGUGUUUUUAGUAGAGAUGGGGUUUCACCAUAUUGGCCAGGAUGGUCUCCAUCUAUUGACCUCGUGAUCCGCCCCCUCAGCCUUCCAAAGUGCUGGGAUUACAGGCGUGAGCCACUGUGCCCGGCAAAACUCUGUCUCAAAAAAAAAAAGUAAGAGGAGGAACACAUUCACCCUCGGUAUAAUGCUUGUAUAUAUGGAGAGAUGUGCUCUGCUACAAAAGUUUGUGAUAAAGGAUUAAUUUUCUUAAUUACUGUAUUUUGUAAGAAUCGAUAUUAUCUUUUUUAUUAUUAUUAAUUUGUUUCCUUAACCAUAAACAUCUAGGUUUUUUGUUUUUGUUUUUGUUUUUGAGAUGGAGUUUUGCUCUUGUUGCCCAGGCUGGAGUGCAGUGGCACAACUCACCACAACCUCUGCCUCCCAGGUUCAAGAGAUUCUCCUGCCUCAGCCUCCUGAGUAGCCGGGAUUACAGGCAUGCGCCACCAUGCCUGGAUAAUUUUGUAUUUUUAGUAGAGCCGAUAUUGUGCCAUUGCACUCCAGCCUGGGCAACAGAGCGAGACUCUGUCUCAAAGAAAAAGAAAGAAAGAUGAAAAUGUUGUGGAGAUGGAUGGUGCUGAUGGUUGCACAAUGUGUAUGUACUCAAUGUCCCUGAAUUUUAUGUUAUAUAUAUUUUACUACACACAUACACACAAAGAAUGGCCCACUUCUACAGCCUGGAAAGUUGACACAGAGCUCCAUGUGUUUGCUGGGGUGCAGGAUAGAGGGGCCUCUUAGUGGGAAGUGGCUGAUCUCAGACCUGGCCCUUCACAUCCUUCAGAUCCCCCAGCACCUGUUCCAAGUGCCUGACAUCCAGAUAUGCCACCAAGCCGUCCUGGCUGGCCCAGGCUGCUGCCUCUUGGUUGCCUGGCACCAGUUGGUGGUAGGUGUGCUGAGGCGGGGACCCUUGUCCCUCCACACCAAGCAAAGCCAGCUUUCCCUCCAGCUUCACCACGCCUCCACCUAGGCCCAGCGACACAGCAUGGGGGCCACAGAUGUCUCAAGCAAACCUGCAGCCUUCUGAGAGCAUGUAGGCAUCAGCCAGACCCAGUGCCAUGCACAGCAGCUUGUAGCCUGCAUCUAAGCACAGGAAAGGGUGAGGGGAUAUGAGGAGGGUGAGGGGAUAUGAGGAAGGUGAGGAAGAAAGAAGGGAUCCAGAAUCAAGGGAAAAGAACAGUUGAGGAGAGUUGGGAGAGGGGUGAGGAAAAACCGGAAAGUGAGAGACAUAGAGGAGGGUGGGAGGCAUGGGGAAGGAUGGGGGAAGAGGAGGCAAAAAUACAUGAAGGAUCAAUGCUUCUUGGGCUUCAGUUUAAAAAACAUUUUCUUUAAUUUUUGAAAAAUAGGUGUAAGAGAGGAGUGGGGAGAGGGAAGAGGAAGAGAUAGGGAUGGGAGGGAAGAAGGAAACAAGGAUGCAUCAUCAAAGCCAUCCCCCCACUGGGAGGGUAAGGAGAGUGGUGGAUAAAAUUCAAGGUCCAGAGGUUGGGUCUGAAAUGGGGGCCUGAAAUUUAAGUCCAGAGGCCUCAGCUUUGGAUAAGGAUAGAGGCACGGUGCUUGAUGGCAUCUCUCAGAUCGCAGGGUGAAGGAGGGGCUGCACCUGCGCGUUUGCAGGUCCUGCUGGCAGAAAAGCUCAUAGACCAUCCCGCAGGGCUCUCCAGAGAGUAGGUUAUAUGCCCCAGCACCAGCACUGAGUGCAGCCCCCAGGGGAGUACUGUGCACGGGCUCCAUGGCGACAUCACCACUAUGUAUUUACUGGUUGGUGGAGACUGGGGAACACAAAGGAGUCUCCAGGCCAGGCGCGGUGGCUCACGCCUAUAAUCCUAGCACUUUGGGAGGCCGAGGCGGGUGGAUCACCUGAGGUCAAGAGUUUGAGACCAGCCUGGACAACACAGUGAAACCCCAUCUCUACUACAAAUACAAAAAUUAGCCAGGUGUGGCCAGGGCGGUGACUCACGCCUGUAAUCCCAGCACUUUGGGAGGCCAAGGCAGGCGGAUCACGAGGUCAGAAGUUCGAGACAGCCUGACCAACGUGGUGAAACCCCGUCUCCACUAAAAAAUACAAAAAUUAGCCGGGCAUUGUGGCGCACGCCUGUAAUCCCAGCUACUCAGGAGGCUGAGGCAGGAGAAUCACUCUAACCCCGGGAGGCGGCGGUUGCAGUGAGCUGAGAACACGCCAUUGCACUCCAGCCUGGGCAACAGAGCGAGACUCUGUCUCAAAAAAAAAAAAAAAUUAGCCGGGCGUGGUGGUGCACACCUAUAAUCCCAGCUACUCAGGAAGCUGAGGCAGGAAAAUUGCUUGAACCUGGAAGGCAGAGGUUGCAGUGAGUCAAGAUCAUGCCACUGCACUCCAGCUUGGGCAACAGAGUGAGACUCCAUCUCAAAAAAAAAAAAAAAGGAGUCUUCCAGUCACUGGGUGGCCAUCUCUGCUCCAACUUUUUGGGGGAGGCCACACCCUUCAUAAUUGGCAAGACUACAUUACCAUGGUAUCCAGAAGAACAUAUUGCCAAAGUCCCUUUUUUAUCUCACUUCCAGGAAAGUGGGGCUCAGAGAGGUAAAGCCACUCACUCAGGGUCAACAGAUCAACCUGCACGUAAGAAUCUGGGUCUUUUUUUUUUUUUUUUUGAGAUGAAGUCUCACUCUGUCACCCAGGCUGAAGUGUAGUGGCACUCAGCUCCCCAAAACCUCCGCCUACCAGUUUCAAGUGAUUCUCCUGCCUCAGCCUCCCGAGUAGCCGGGAUUACAGGCUGUAGCCCGCCACCACACCUAGCUAAUUUUUUUAAUUCUUUUUUAUUUUUUUCCGACAGAGUUUCGCUCUUGUUGCCCAGGUUGGAGUGCAAUGGCGCGAUCUCAGCUCACUGCAACCUUUGCCUCCCAGGUUCAAGCGAUUCUCCUGCCUCAGCCUCCUGAAUAGCUGGGAUUAUAGGUGCCCACCACCACGCUGGCUAACUUUUUGUAUUUUUAGUAGAGACGGGGUUUCACCAUGUUGGUCAGGCUGGUCUUGAACUCCUGACCUCAAGUGAUCCACCUGCCUUGGCCUCCCAAAGUGCUGGGAUUACAGGCGUGAACCACCACACCCUGCCAGGGUCUUGAUGUACCACUCCAGUGCUGUCACACCUGCCGCCAGCAAGAAGCUCUCUGAGGCCAGAAGCCCUGGUGUGAGACCUGGUUCUGCUGCUCAUGAAUGGGGUGACCUCUCUCCCUGAGCCUCAGCUUUCUCCCAGUUGAGUAGGAGGGAAACAACUCCCUUCCCCACCUCACAGGGCAGUUGUGAGGAUCACAGAAUAAACUAAGGGAAUUGGUUUUAUUACUUUAAGAAUGGUGGCCAGGCCGAGUGCAGUGGCUCAUGCCUGUGACCUAGCACUUUGGGAGGCUGAGGUGGAUGGAUAGCCUGAGCUCAGGAGUUUGAGACCAGCCUGGACAACACAGUGAAAUUCCAUCUCUACUAAAAUACAAAAAAUUAGCCGGGCGUGGUGGCAUGCACCUGUAGUCCCAGCUACUCGGGAGGCUGAGGCAGGAGAAUUGCUUGAACCUGGGAGGCAGAGGUUGCAGUGAGAUCACAGCACUGCACUCCAGCCUGGGUGACAGAGCAAGACUCCAUCUCAAAAAAAUAAAAAAAUAACAGAAAAAUGGUGGCUGGGCACAGUGGCUCACACCUGUAAUACCAGCACUUUGGGAGGCUGAGGCGGGCGGAUCACCUGAGGUCAGGAGUUCAAGACCAGCCUGACCAACAUGGACAGGCCCCCGUCUCUACUAAAAAUACAAAUUAGCUGGGUGUGGUGGCACAUGCCUGUAAUCCCAGCUACUGGGGAGGCUGAAGCAGGAGAAUCACUGGAACCCGGGAGACGGAGGUUGCCGUGAGCCAAGAUGGUGCCAUUGCACUCCAGCCUGAGCAACAAGAGGGAAACUCCGUCCCAAAAAAACAAAACAAAACAAAACAAAAAAAAGGAACGGUAAGGCUUGGCUGGAUGUGGUGGCUCACACCUGUAAUCCCAACACUUUGAGAGGCUGAGGUAGGAGCCCAGGAGUUCGAGAUCAGCCUGGGCAAGACGGUAAAACCCCAUCUCUAUAAAAACAAAAACGGUCGGACGCAGUGGCUCACACCUGUAAUCCCAACACUUUGGGAGGCCGAGGCGGGUGGAUCACCUGACGUCAGGAGUUCAAGACCAGCCUGGCCAACAUGGCGAAACCCUGUCUCUACUAAAAAUACAAAAAAAUUAGCUGGGCAUGGUGGCAUGUGCCUGCAGUCCUAGCUACUCGGGAGGCUGAGGCAGGAACAUUGCUUGAAACCGGGAGACGGAGCCUGCAGUGAGCCGAGAUCAUGCCACUGCACUCCAGCCUGGGCAACAGAGCAACACUCCUGGAUCAGCCCAUCUGCCAGCGUUUUGAGGUCCUUCUCCAAAGACCUCAAAAAACAAACAAAAAAGAAUGAUGAGGCUUUAUCAUACCCUGUUUUCAGACUCAUGGGAAUUAAAAUGAUUUUGCUUUGAGAAAUAUCUGGAUACCCCACCCCAACUGACAUAGCCAAGGUAGGGGUGGGAGGGACAAUCCAGCCCCACACUCCAGCCCCACCCCCACCAGGAUCUGUCCUCAGGGCCCGCCUCAAUUCCUUUCCCCAUUUCUUGGGCCCCUAGUUCCUGACCUCUGGCCCCUCAUUGUCACUCCUGUCCCAGUCUCUUCCCAGCCAGUGCCAUCAUUAACAACGAGGUCCAUCCAAAUGCCCAGCUGGUGAGUGGGCAGGAUGAACAGCUCCAGCCCAUCCUGCUUGAGAGCCUCGUCCAGGUUCAUGUCUUGUUUAUGCACUCCCUUGGCCAGGAUCUUAGCUGCUGUGUGGUUCUGGCCCAGAACCAGGCACAGGAGCACAGAGGUAUCUACCUGAGAGUCACAGAGCCUCACAACUAAAGUUUUUCCUAGGAUGGAACAGAGAUAAACAUAGGAGAAAUGACAAAGAGGUGAUGCUGGGACUGGGUGGUUAUCUCAGGUUUCUGUUCCUUGGGACUAAAAGGCCAAGAGGCCUAGGCAGGGGCUCAGGAAAAAUUCAUUCAUGUAUUAAUCCAUGUAUGGGGAGCCUAAACAUGGAGAUAAGUAAGACAUGUCCCUGCCUUCAGGGUGCUUACAACCUUAUAGGCACAGACAAAAAAUACAGUGUGGUGAGAGGGCUAUGACAAAGAGAACCCCUGGGUUCUGGAAGCUGCCUAGCACAGGCUGGGGGAUGCAGUGGGGCAGCAGAGGACCUGAGAUACCUGCCAAAGAAGAAGGGCCUGUGGCAGACUCACCCAGGCUGUUCUCAAAUUUGUUGGGUUGUUCCCCAUGGAUGUGGUCUUGCAGCCCAGGGAACUAGGGGUGAGGAGUGCUGGCACCCCUCGGUAGAGCCCAGACCAGUUUCUCCUGCCCUCACCAAUUUCAGGCUCCCAUUCCCAGAUCCCAGCCAGACCCGCUGGUCGUCCUGACACCCUCACCGUUCACACACACACACAUGCCCCUCAUCUGACAACUUUGACCUUCACUACCCUCUGCUUUCUCCUUCAUUCCCUCUGGAGAGAGAAUUCCCUCUGAACACUCCUGCAGUUCCCCCCUGCUUCCCAACAGCUCCCUCACCUGGCAGCCCAGGUACUGCUUUGUCGCCUCCUGGAUCAGCCCAUCUGCCAGCAUUUUAAGGUCCUUGGAGAAGCUGACAUUGCACUUAGACCCGUUCUUUUCCUGGAGCAGCAGCUGGAAUAGUGGUGCCUCCUGCUGGCAGCAUUGGCCACUGCCAGAAACAGGGCCUGUAAUGAGGACCCACCAUGGGCCCAGAGAGGGAGCAGUAGGUGAGAACUCAGGGAAGAGGUGGGGACCCCAGGGAGGCCAAGAAUGAAGAUAAGCAGCAGCUUGCACCCAGUGGAGUUGUAGAGCUGGCCUGCCAUGAGGAGAGAGGGGACAGAUUGGGGAUAAGCAGGAGGGAGGCCAGAGGCAAAGGAAGACAUAACCCCAAAUGAUUCUUAGAGUCCCCCAGUUGUAUCCUGCCACACUGCCCCCCACCCCAAACGCAAACUCUUUGGCCCCCUUCUCCCAACUCCCAACUUCUCUUAGAGGGCCUUGGGGCUAAAGAGGUUAACAAGACUGCCAAGUGAUCCCGGCAAGAUAAUUAUAGGAUUUAGAAGGUGGUGUGGGAGAGGACAGUAAUUACAGUGACAUCCUCUCUGGAGCUGCAGGAUUUGUGGGCAGAGGACUGGAAGGGGUCCACUCUACUAACACACCACCCCCUAGCCCAGAAUAGCCUCCCCACUCCCCCAGAGGCACAUGCAGGGAGAGCAGGAGAGCCGGGGAGUAAGCCUCUCCCCUCUGCUACAUCUCAACGAGAUGUAGCCCCUCCCCUCCUUAGAAAGCCCUGCAGUGCCAAAGAAUGAGUCCACUGACCCUCAAAAUAGAAACUUUAGGAGAAAAAAGGAAGAAGAGAUAGGAUUAGGGAUCCUCCCUAGGGAGGGGAGAAAAAUAGCUACUCCCCACUGAGCCUAGCUCUGAUAGACAAGGCAGUUUGGGUGUGGAGGUGGCCAUUGUGGUGAAGGUGCAGGGUGGCGGGAGUCCCCCCUUACAGGGUUCCCUUACAAUGGUUCCCCUGUUCUGGCAGCAGCACUUCUGAUCAUGGUCCAGGCAACUCUGGCCUCAGACCCCGGUGACAGGCUCCAGGGAGCUGCAGCUCUUCCUGAGGAUAUAGCAGACCAUCUACCCAAGCACCUCUCUCUCUAGCAGGUCUUGAAACCUCAUACCCUCCCCCGGAACACAGCCUCCUUCUCUCCCGGCAGCUCAUACAUUUUAAGCCUAAAUGCCUCCCUUAGGCUGCGACCCACAUUUGCUAUGAACCAGUCAGGACCUUGAAGAAGGCGGGCCUGAAGGUUGCCUGGGUAACUCUGGGAGAGGGGCACCCUUGGCAGGAAGACAGUUGCCAGGGAGACUAGGACAGUGGGCGGGGCCCCAAACCUAAGCAUGUACUAGGAUAAGGAAAGAUCUAAUGUCCAGAUCCCCCCGAACUUAUUUUCCGUAAAGCCACCAGUGCCCCAUUUUUAGGGAGUCUGGGGCAGCUGGAGUUCUGAAGCUCCUAAAAGAAACCUCCCAGGGGUUAAUUCCUGAAACUCAGGGGAUCCCAACAGGACCAAACCUGAGGGAACUCAAGGAAAUAGGCAAGAUCUGGGAGGCGCUGGGGAAAGGACAAGGCUUAAUGCAUUAUGAUAUGGAACUUUUCGAACUAAAAUUCUAAAAUGAAAAUGUACAACGUAUGCAAAAAUAAAACCCUUAAGCCGUGCUUUCAGUUC